rnacentral:rRNA from 1 species
UGGGGAAUUUUGGACAAUGGGGGCAACCCUGAUCCAGCCAUCCCGCGUGUGCGAUGAAGGCCUUCGGGUUGUAAAGCACUUUUGGCAGGGAAGAAACAGCCUGGGAUAAUACCCCGGGCGACUGACGGUACCUGCAGAAUAAGCACCGGCUAACUACGUGCCAGCAGCCGCGGUAAUACGUAGGGUGCAAGCGUUAAUCGGAAUUACUGGGCGUAAAGCGUGCGCAGGCGGUUCGGAAAGAAAGGUGUGAAAUCCCAGGGCUUAACCUUGGAACUGCACUUUUAACUACCGAGCUAGAGUACGUCAGAGGGGGGUAGAAUUCCACGUGUAGCAGUGAAAUGCGUAGAGAUGUGGAGGAAUACCGAUGGCGAAGGCAGCCCCCUGGCCAAUACUGACGCUCAUGCACGAAAGCGUGGGGAGCAAACAGGAUUAGAUACCCUGGUAGUCCACGCCCUAAACGAUGUCAACUAGUUGUUGGGGAUUCAUUUCCUUAGUAACGUAGCUAACGCGUGAAGUUGACCGCCUGGGGAGUACGGUCGCAAGAUUAAAACUCAAAUGAAUUGACGGGG